GAUGAACGCUGGCGGCGUGCUUAACACAUGCAAGUCGAACGGGAAACCUUUUAUUGAAGCUUCGGCAGAUUUAGCUGGUUUCUAGUGGCGGACGGGUGAGUAACGCCUGGGUAACCUGCCUUAUACAGGGGGAUAACAACCAGAAAUGGUUGCUAAUACCGCAUAAGCGCACAGGACCGCAUGGUCCGGUGUGAAAAACUCCGGUGGUAUAAGAUGGACCCGCGUUGGAUUAGCUAGUUGGCAGGGUAACGGCCUACCAAGGCGACGAUCCAUAGCCGGCCUGAGAGGGUGAACGGCCACAUUGGGAAUGAGACACGGACCAGAAUGCUACGGGGGGGAGCAGUGGGGAAUAUUGCACAAUGGGGGAAACCCUGAUGAAGCGACGCCGCGUGAAGGAAGAAGUAUGUCGGUAUGUAAACUUCUAUCAGCAGGGAAGAGAGUGACGGUACCUGACUAAGAAGCCCCGGCUAACUACGUG
rnacentral:rRNA from 1 species